ensembl:lncRNA
GUGGAAGCAAGCGAAUAAAUAGUGCAGCGCUCUUCUCACUGGUUCUGCUGUGCAAAUCGACUUCACAGCCCUUCCUUGCCUCCUCGCCCCUGCUUCGGCGUGCUUUGUGUCGGGGAAGCAAAUUGGUCACAUCUGCAUCCGGCCAGGGAGGAACAAAUGUGCUGGCUAGGCAGCAACGAGCUUUCUGAGGGGGAUGCCUCAAAGUGAAAUGAAAGGUCGGCCAUCAAAGCUGCCACCGCGUCUAAUCGCCACUGUCAGCAGCAGGAGCAGAAUGCCUGCGAAUGGGAAAGCGCGCGGGCGCUGGGUAAAGGAGGAACGCGCUCGCAGAGAAAAUAAGCACUGAAAACAUACGCAUCAAAUACAUCACAGGGUCGCGGGAGCCUGCUGCUGGACCAUGUGUCACAUGAAAUGGGAAUCAUUAUCUGAUGGGACAGAAGGAAUACCUAACCAUUGGCUUGACAAGCAAGGCCCUUUAGAGUGGCUUUCUGGUCAGCCUGGGCAGCAGGCAGUACAGCCAGGUUUAGACUCUUUCUCCACUAAAGGAGGGGAACGGAGGAUGCAAUCAUUUUGUCCAUCAUUGUAAUUAUUUACUUCCAUAGUUGAUUUUUCUCUUUCGGUUGCUUGCACAUUUCCCAUAAAUGAGGAUAAGUUUUCCGUCAAUUCAUUGGUAGUUUUUGGGUGUUGUUUUUGUUUUGUUUUGUUUUGUUUU